AUUGAACGCUGGCGGCAGGCCUAACACAUGCAAGUCGAACGAGUGGCGGACGGGUGAGUAAUGUCUGGGAAUCUGCCUGAUGGAGGGGGAUCACUACUGGAAACGGUCGCUAAUACCGCAUACUCUCGGAUGUCCCCAGAUGGGUUUGGCUAUUAGGUGGGGUAAAGGCUCACCUAGGCCACGAUCCAUAGCUGGGCUGAGAGGAUGACCAGCAACACGGGAACGGAGACACGGCCCAGACGCCUACGGGAGGCAGCAGUGGGGAAUAUUGCACAAUGGGCGCAAGCCUGAUGCAGCCAUGCCGCGUGUAUGAAGAAGGCCCUCGGGUUGUAAAGUACUUUCAGCGGGGAGGCGUUACCCACAGAAGAAGCACCGGCUAACUCCGUGCCAGCCGCCGCGGUAAUUC
rnacentral:rRNA from 1 species